UACAUAAAAGAAAGAGAAAAGAUAAUCAUUAAAUCAAACAGACACUUCAGGGAAAUUUAUUUCUAGGAGACAAUAUAUAUCUUGAUUUUGAAAAAGAGAAUCUAACAUCAGUGGAUGAGAGACUUAACUUAGUUCCUUUUUUUUUUUUUUUUUACAAAUAACUUUUAUUAGUAUUUAAUUGCUGCUCAGUGUUCUGCUGUUUAAAAUGCAUGACACUGAAUAAAUUAUAUUAUAUAAUAUAUUCAGUAUAUUAUAUAUAUAUAUUCACAUAUAUAUAUACAUACACACACAAUCUCACAAAAGUGAGUACACGUAGCACACAUGUUGAACUUCCAGUGACCGGUAUUUGGGAGUGUGAGAGCAAUGACACAUAUAUAUGAAUAUAUUUCUAUAUACAUACACACAUACAUAUAUACAUACAUAUACAAGGGAUGCACCGAAUGUUUGUAAACCGAAAUUAUUUGGCCGAAAAUAGCAAAAAAAAAGCACUUUCGGUGUUCGGCUGUAUAAGUGAAAAGGCCGAAUAAAUUUGAUCGAACAACGACGUGUUUCAUGAUGUACCAAAUAGCCUAGCAACCAGAGUGAGACGCGUGAAUUUCACGACCUCCACUUCCGGCAGCGCACUUGGAGCGAUGAGCGGGCGCGCGCAUGCACGUGCGCGAGCGCAUGCUCUACAGAUGUUGACAACCGUGACAUUGUUUACUGUGGACACGUGCACGUUUGUUUUGUUUCUGUUCCGGAGUAUUCUGUCACGUCGCGAGACAUAAGGGAGUAGAGUACGGAAGCAGAUAGGUGACAAAUGCACCAGAGCAGCUUAGCCUUAUCAUAGAUUCUACACAUCUUUUGAACUGCACUGGAGAGGCCACUCUCAGCAGGAGAGUAAUGUUUCACAGAAUAAAGCUCAUUGACAGGGACGAUCCAAGUGAAGGAAGGUGAAGGAAGAUCCAUGUAAUCGAAGCCUAAUAAUAAAUGGAUUAAAAAUGUGUUAUAUAAAAAAGCUUAUAAUCUUUGAUAUGGUGAAGUUUUCUUUUAGAAGAUGUUUAUUUCAGAAUUAUGGCAGGAGUCUAUGCAGUGCCAGUGCUUUAUAAGUUAGUGAGUUUCCAGACAUCUGUGUUAGUCCCUGCCAAAAUAUUUGGUAUUCACUUUUAUUGGGGAUAUUGUUGAGUGAUGGAAGGAGUAUACUGAGGAGCACAGGAGGCAGUGCUAAAAAUUUCUGUUGCACUGAGUUCUGCUAGAUCUAGUGCCUUUGGACUAGCAAACUAGUAUGGUGGCAUCUACUGAGCGCGAAUUCCAAUAAAGAGGAGAAUCACACUUUUCCUGCUGGAGAAAUUAUAUCCUACAGCUUGGAAAUGUCUGGGGAUUCCCCAGGAGGACCUGGAAUCUGGUUGGAAAUUGGGCUAACCUUCUCAGCCUGUUGCCACAACAGUCCCAUCAGAAAAAGUAGGGGGAAAAAAACUAUUAAAUAAUGUUUAUUUGACUUCUUGUCUUGCCUAAGGGAAAGCACACUUUUGCACUCAACUGUAUUUAAACUCAUAAGUAUAAUAAGUCACAAAUGUGUAAGGGUGAGUUAAUAUUACAAUUCAAGUGUACUGAGCUCAUGACAAACUGAUAUCACAUCCUUAUGCAAUAAUCUUAAUUUUG